GUGAGUGUGUCUGUGUGUGAGUGUGUCUGUGUGUGAGUGUGUGAGUGUGUCUGUGUGUGAGUGUGUCUGUGUUGGCCUAUAUGGUAUGUCCGGACUUUUGACCUGAAUACAUACCAGCGCUCCCUGGACCUAAGGGGAUUAGCCGGACUAUGCCAAAGUCCGGAUAAUUCGGGAAGUGUAUCUGCAUUAGUUAGCAUCUAGCUAACACUUUUCCAGAUUUUCUCUGAUGGUCCUUAUGUACCACUUGACCUGAUUUUCUGUGUAUCACAGUGUAUCGAACAGCGCACCCCAGAGAUUGUGAUGGAAUUGCAGUUUGUACACAUUUUUGAUACACACGGUGCAGUUUAGGCGGGCUGGCUUGUGAUUGGCUGAUUGAGAUGUGUGGGCGGGACUUAAAUGAAGUCCGCUCUAAGCUCCGCCCACAUCCUCGGUAAACGGAGUGGAGAGAACUACAUGAGACAGCAUGGAUUAAGAGACGUAUUUGGAUGGUUUCUUCAUGAAGAGCCUUGAUGAGGACAGGCCUCCAAGCGUGGCUGAAGGUACAGACCCCCAGUCUGCAGAUGCUGAAGAGAUGUUGAUGCAGGAGACUGAGAUCAACUUGAUCCAGACUUCACUGAGCUUUCCAAACCAGACCCUGAAAAUCCAGCAAUGGGUCCCCUCAAUCAACCUGAGGAGGUGAUCCUGAGACAACACAAAAUCAGCCCACCGCUCCAGUUCAAAUGAAUCUGCAGGUCAACAGUAUUAAGUGUAAAAAACAUCAACUGGUGUCUGCAAGCGUUUCCAUUGGACAAAUGAAGACAGUGUGUUGGACCAGUAUCCUCCUUGAAGUGGAUUGGCUGAAAGUGUCAAGAGUUAAGUGACGGUGAGGCCAGGGAUGGAGGGAGUGAAGAUGACAACAGUGGCACAGAAGAGGCAGCCUUGGAGUGUGAAACAAGCAAGCCCCACGACCCUGCACCAGAGUCUACAGUGACAGAGCAGGUCCAUGACACUGGAGAUUUGGCAGAAACGGUAUCAGUGUCAUCUACAGUACAUGAGACGGCCCUCCCUUCUGAAGGAGACACUGCUGUUCAAGCUCGUGGUCAAAGAAGAUUGACAAAGAAACCCUGGUCUAAGGCUGAGGUUGCAGCAGUAAUGCGGCAUUUCUGAAAACACAUAAGCAAAAGGCAGCUGGCCUGGAAGUAGAAGACCCGUGUUGGCAGGAAGAACACUGAAAAAUGUAAGGGACUUUGUUAGAAACAGAGGGACAGCAAUGAAGAGGCAGUCAAAGAAAGGCAGGCUGUAAAGGUAACAAAACCACCUUUUUGCUGUGUUCUUAGUGAUUAUGCAGUUGCAGAGGUUGCUAGAAAGGUAAUGUAUGGCAAUAUUUUUGUGUGAAAAUAGUUUGCAAUAGUGUAAAAAUGCAAAUGUGUGACACAGAUAUUUAAGUUGAUGAGUAAAUUAGGCUGUUGUUUGCACCCUACCUUCUCUGCAGUUCCGCUGUGUAAGAUUAAUAAGUGUGUAUGAUGAUGGGAAAUGUGUGGGCAGUGUCUGUUGAAGUGGUGCCACCGGCCUGGUGCUCAUACCUGGGUGUCCUACGUUGCUUUGUGCAGGGAAUCAGCUCCUGCAAGGGAGAUACACUAUUUGGUAGAUGACUAUUGCAGGACACUGGCUGAUUAUAAUGAUUUCUAAAUUGAAGACAAUUCAGCAAGGCUGAACAGACAAAAGUAAACCACAGCUAGCCUGGGUUUAGAGCCAACAGACCCCAUCCAUUUGCUUUUGGAUGUGUGUAAGCUUUGGUGGAUAACCACUUUUGAAUCGAUUUUAGGGUUGAAACAAUUCCUCAAAUUAUCCGGGUAAUUUGAUUAAAAAAAUUCCUCGAGGCUUCACUUAAAUCAGUCCUGUAUCCAUAUACAGCCAUGCUGUAGUCUGGACAUCGCACCGUGUGUUGCGCGGCGUGCUGUGUUUCGCACGGACAGCUAUUUGUGUGGCACAAUGCCCUUGUUUUCGUUGUUACUAUAACAUAACAUGCAUGAUACGAGGCGUGAAAAUCACGAGAGAAGAGAAGUUAAUGCAGUGAUGUUUACAGGCACUCCUGCGUUUUUAUGCAUCCACUGGCCUUGGCUUCAUGGCAGAUAUGGCACUACGCCUGCACCUGUAAACCUACGCAGAUCUCUGAGUUUAUGCGCUGCCUGCGUGACUUGCAGUGCUCAGUUUGUGUCUGCAGACUUCAGGGAAUUUCCUAAACUUCUCUUACUGACCUGACAGUUUUACAGAACACCGUCAGAAUUCAUGAUUCAAGUCCUGUUUUGGUGCUUCCCCCCUCUCUCUCUCUCUCUCUCUCUCCCUCGCUCUUUUCCGCGUGCGCAUGUUAUACAUUGAAUUAUAAAUUAUCUAAAAUUCAGUGCACUGACGUCUAGAUUACAGUGUAUUUUUCAAAAUGUUUAGCAUCCCGAAUGAUUUGAUAAGACUUACAUUGAUAAUGAAUUGACACCAAUUAAAUAGAAACACCUUAUUGCCACAGACAGUGGCAGAGACUAAGUA